CCGAUCGUACAAGCACACACAUAUAUAUAAUUCAUCUUAAAAGCGAGAUUUAGCUGAGUGAAAUAUUCCCAGAACAGAUUUGUUCAACAUUUUGUUGUCGCUCAGUUAUCUUUGCACUGACUUGAGCUCUCGUCUCGGGACUGGGACCAACUGCUGUCGCUGCUCUCGUUGUCGUUGUCAACUUAAAGGAGUUGGAUUCAUCAUCGUUGGUCUUUUUGGCCGUUCGUCUACUUCGAAGCAGAAGUUUCAUUUCUAUAAAAUUGUUGACUGGAAUUUCAGUCGUCUUAUUUUAUAUCAUUCUAGCUCCAGGCCUCCUCAAGCAGUCGUCAUGGCUUAAGAAAGAGCUUUACUGUGGUUGUUAAACAGGCUAAACGUUUUAUAGCCGGUAGGUGACGUCCAAACUGAGAUGGCGACAGAGUGCGGGGUCAGUGCAGAUAGGAAUUGUAUUUCAAUUCAGGUUAAUUUUUUCAAUUUAUAAGAAAUCAUUUACACAAAUUAAAAUGAAUUACAUAUAUCACGCUGUUCUCUGCUA